GCAAGGUGAAUCAGGGUUCCACCUGUCUGGAGGCUUACUUGGAUCUGAUUGGCUGAUUCGUGUGGUGUGGGCGGACUUGAACGGGGGUGAUUGGGAAGCGUGCAUUUGCAGAGCAAGAAGACUUCUUGAAGUAGACUGAUAACAGAUAUCACGCUCAAAAUACUUAUGUAAACUUUCCAUACAUAGACACAUCAGCUUUUAGGCUGUAAUUUAUAUUCAUGGUUUUUCCCCCGGUAUUUUCAUCAUUUUACUACUAUUUGAGAGUUAACUGGAGGAACACUGCUUUUCAAAGAUGUGGUUAUUUUUAUCAAUGUGUGCACUGGUUAAAGCUUUCCAUGCAGACUUUUCGGAAACAGGAUCUGGUGUCUCGGACUCAGAGGGGUUCAACACAUAUCUGAAUCUCUUUACACAAAGAGUGGAUUUACUUGAGCAGCUCUCAGGCUUAGUACCAACCAGCAGGAACGUGACCCUUUAUGAGGAGGACAAAAGAUGUCCAGUGCUGGACAUUGGCCUGUAUUCCACACUCACCAUGCCCUCCCAUGAAGCAUUUGGAUCAAGGUUUGACAUUUAUGUAUGUAUGUAUGUAUGUCUAUAUGUCUGUAGGUCUGUAUGUCUGUCUGUAAUUAUGUAGGUCUGUAUGUCUGUCUGUCUGUCUGUAUGUCUGUUGGUCUGUAUGUCUAUCUGUAAUUAUGUAGGUCUGUAUGUCUGUCUGUAAUUAUGUAGGUCUGUAUGUCUAUCGGUCUGUAUGUCUGUCUCUAAUUAUGUAGGUCUGUCGGUCUGUAGAUCUGUAUGUCUGUCUGUAAUUAUGUAGGUCUAUAUGUCUGUCUGUCUAUCUGUCUGUAAUUAUGUAGGUCUGUAUGUAUGUCUGUAAUCAUGUAGGUCUGUAUGUAUGUCUGUCUGUAAUUAUGUAGGUCUGUAUGUCUAUCGGUCUGUAUGUCUGUCUGUAAUUAUGUAGGUCUAUAAGUCUGUCUGUCUGUCAGCAUGUCUGUCUGUCUGUAAUUACGUAGGUCCGUAUGUAGGUCUGUAUGUCUAUCGGUCUGUAUGUCUGUCUGUAAUUAUGUAGGUCUGUCGGUCUGUAGAUCUGUAUGUCUGUCUGUAAUUAUGUAGGUCUAUAUGUCUGUCUGUCUAUCUGUCUGUAAUUAUGUAGGUCUGUCUGUCUGUCUGUCAGUAUGUCUGUCUGUAUGUCUGUCUGUAAUUAUGUAGGUUCGUAUGUCUGUCUGUCAGUAUGUCUGUCUCUGUGUCUGUAAUUAUGUAGGUCUGUAUGUUUGUCUGUAAUUAUUUUUAUUUAAUUAUUUAAUUAUUAUUAUUUCUUUUAUUUGACAGUUUUUUCCAUUUUCAUUAUGAUUUUAUUUAAAUGACCGUAUUUUUUUAAAUUUACACUGUUGUUCAAAUGUUUGUGGUUAAACAUAUGUGUGUAUAUACAGUAUAUGUGUGUG
ensembl:lncRNA